GUGUUGUAUGAAAGGAGAGAGAAGGUUAGCACUCCCCUUGACAAGGAUGGAAAAGGCCUUCAGGCCUGACAACAUGCAUAUGGUUAAGGCAUUGCCACCUACUUCAUGGCAUCUAACCACCGUUUUUA
ensembl:snRNA